AGAGUUUGAUCCUGGCUCAGGACGAACGCUGGCGGCGUGCCUAAUACAUGCAAGUAGAACGCUGAAGAGAGGAGCUUGCUCUUCUUGGAUGAGUUGCGAACGGGUGAGUAACGCGUAGGUAACCUGCCUUGUAGCGGGGGAUAACUAUUGGAAACGAUAGCUAAUACCGCAUAACAAUGGAUGACUCAUGUCAUUUAUUUGAAAGGGGCAAUUGCUCCACUACAAGAUGGACCUGCGUUGUAUUAGCUAGUAGGUGAGGUAACGGCUCACCUAGGCGACGAUACAUAGCCGACCUGAGAGGGUGAUCGGCCACACUGGGACUGAGACACGGCCCAGACUCCUACGGGAGGCAGCAGUAGGGAAUCUUCGGCAAUGGGGGCAACCCUGACCGAGCAACGCCGCGUGAGUGAAGAAGGUUUUCGGAUCGUAAAGCUCUGUUGUAAGUCAAGAACGAGUGUGAGAGUGGAAAGUUCACACUGUGACGGUAGCUUACCAGAAAGGGACGGCUAACUACGUGCCAGCAGCCGCGGUAAUACGUAGGUCCCGAGCGUUGUCCGGAUUUAUUGGGCGUAAAGCGAGCGCAGGCGGUUUGAUAAGUCUGAAGUUAAAGGCUGUGGCUCAACCAUAGUUCGCUUUGGAAACUGUCAAACUUGAGUGCAGAAGGGGAGAGUGGAAUUCCAUGUGUAGCGGUGAAAUGCGUAGAUAUAUGGAGGAACACCGGUGGCGAAAGCGGCUCUCUGGUCUGUAACUGACGCUGAGGCUCGAAAGCGUGGGGAGCGAACAGGAUUAGAUACCCUGGUAGUCCACGCCGUAAACGAUGAGUGCUAGGUGUUGGAUCCUUUCCGGGAUUCAGUGCCGCAGCUAACGCAUUAAGCACUCCGCCUGGGGAGUACGACCGCAAGGUUGAAACUCAAAGGAAUUGACGGGGGCCCGCAC
rnacentral:rRNA from 1 species